rnacentral:rRNA from 1 species
GAUGAACGCUGGCGGCGUGCCUAAUACAUGCAAGUCGAGCGAACAGACGAGGAGCUUGCUCCUCUGACGUUAGCGGCGGACGGGUGAGUAACACGUGGAUAACCUACCUAUAAGACUGGGAUAACUUCGGGAAACCGGAGCUAAUACCGGAUAAUAUAUUGAACCGCAUGGUUCAAUAGUGAAAGACGGUUUUGCUGUCACUUAUAGAUGGAUCCGCGCCGCAUUAGCUAGUUGGUAAGGUAACGGCUUACCAAGGCAACGAUGCGUAGCCGACCUGAGAGAGUGAUCGGCCACACUGGAACUGAGACACGGUCCAGACUCCUACGGGAGGCAGCAGUAGGGAAUCUUCCGCAAUGGGCGAAAGCCUGACGGAGCAACGCAGCGUGAGUGAUGAAGGUCUUCGGAUCGUAAAACUCUGUUAUUAGGGAAGAACAAAUGUGUAAGUAACUAUGCACGUCUUGACGGUACCUAAUCAGAAAGCCACGGCUAACUACGUG